GAGUAUAUAGCCUUGGCCGACAGGCCCGGGUAAUCUUGGGAAAUUUCAUCGUGAUGGGGAUAGAUCAUUGCAAUUGUUGGUCUUCAACGAGGAAUGCCUAGUAAGCGCGAGUCAUCAGCUCGCGUUGACUACGUCCCUGCCCUUUGUACACACCGCCCAUCGCUCCUACCGAUUGAAUGGUCCGGUGAAGUGUUCGGAUCGCGGCGACGGGGGCGGUUCGCCGCCCCCGACGUCGCGAGAAGUCCAUUGAACCUUAUCAUUUAGAGGAAGGAGAAGUCGUAACAAGGUUUCCGUAGGUGAACCUGCGGAAGGAUCAUUG
rnacentral:ncRNA from 1 species